rnacentral:rRNA from 1 species
CAGCCGCCGCGGGAAUACGAAGGGGGCUAGCGUUGUUCGGAAUUACUGGGCGUAAAGCGCACGUAGGCGGAUAUUUAAGUCAGGGGUGAAAUCCCGCAGCUCAACUGCGGAACUGCCUUUGAUACUGGGUAUCUUGAGUAUGGAAGAGGUUAGUGGAAUUGCGAGUGUAGAGGUGAAAUUCGUAGAUAUUCGCAGGAACACCAGUGGCGAAGGCGGCUAACUGGUCCAUAACUGACGCUGAGGUGCGAAAGCGUGGGGAGCAAACAGGAUUAGAUACCCCCGUAGUCCCUGUCUCUUAGAC